rnacentral:rRNA from 1 species
AGUACAUACUUCGGUAGAGUGAAACUGCGGAUAGCUCAUUAAAUCGCCUCUAUUUUGUUUGAUAGUCCUCCACUGGAUAUCCGUGGAAAAUCUAGAGCCAAUACUUGCACUGAUACCUAACAAGCCGGUUUCUUGUUAGGUGCAUUUAUUGGAUAUCCGAUCGCUCACAUUGCGAGCGUUAGGUGAUUCUAAAUGACUUUGCUGAUCGUAUGGCCUUUGUGCCGACGACAGAUCAAACAAGAUCGCGCCCUAUCAAUUUGUUGUUAGGAUAUUGUCCUAACAAGGUUGUAACGGGUGACGGGGAAUCAGGGUUUGAUUCCGGAGAGGGAGCAUGAGAUAUAGCUACCACAUCUAAGGAAGGCAGCAGGCGCGCAAAUUACCCACUCCCGACACGGGGAGGUAGUGACGAGAAAUAUCGGCUCCUAUUCAAU